GGUCAAACUGGGAGAAAAGGGAAUUGGGGAAAUGACCAAUUGAUUGUUUCUGGGAAUCAUUGGGAGUCAAAGAUGACUUCCUGACGAGUGGAGCGCAUGCGUCAGCGCUGCCAUUGAGGAGCAUUUACUCAGUGAGUGCAAGAGGUUUGUUUGAAACAGACCGCAAUGGAGAGAUCAGCGCCCAGGGAAGCGAGGGAACAGCAGGCUCCUUCCAGCAGCACAUCGGGAUGGGAGCCUGGGACACAGAGGGGGCUCCGAGACCGGGAUUGAUUCAGGGCAAAUAUUUGAUGGACCAAUGUCAUAUUGCCUCAGUACAAAGACAAGUGUGACCAUCUGCUUCUAACAACCAGCAGACAAAUACUUGAAGGAGCAAGACAAUGUAACAUCCCCUCGGUACAAAGCCAAGUGUGAUCAGUUCCUUCUAACAAACAGCAGGGAAGAAGAUGACUUGCGAUAAGGAUACUUACAACCAGGCAUCACUUCCAAAUGUGACCAAGCUGCCCAGUUUAUUGUCACCUGAAUAUCAUUGGGUUUUGAAGGAAAAAAAACACCUUUCACAGGGGGAGAAACAUGUGGACAAGUCUUCAGCAGAUCAUCUGCCCAGUCACAACAUAAAUACAGCCACGCUGGAGAAAGGCCAUUCAUCUGUUCCAAGGGUGGGAAAGGAUUCACCCUGCUGAAACCCCAGCAAGUUCACACAGAACAGACCUUUGAAAUGCUCAAAAUGUGGGAACUGCUUUAAACAACUCUGGGGCACAGAUAUCCCACCAACAUGCUCACAGUAAUGAGAGACCCUUCAUGUGCUCUCACUGUGGAUGUGGGUUCAAACAAUCGUCUGACUUCAUUGAACACUAGUGGAUCCGCAUGAGGGAGAGACCACUCGCCUGCACCCAAUGUGGGAAGGGAUUUGCUCAGAAAUCCACCUUGCUCAAACACCAGCGAAUUCACAUGAAGGACAGACCUUUUAAAUGCUCAGAUUUUGAGAACUGCUGUAAAAGUGAUGGGACAUCAGGGCCCCAUUAAUGUGGUCACACUGAUGACAGAGUAUUCAGGUGCUAUCACUGUGGGGCUGGGUUCAAGUGGUCAUCCCAACUCACUGCACACCAGCCAAUGCACACUGGAGAGAGACCACACACCUGCACUGACUGUGGGAAAAGAUUUACUCAUAAAUCCAACCUGUUAAAACAGCAGCGAUCUCUCUGAAGUUAGAGGGUGCUCUGCUGCCUCUGUGGGAAGACAUUCAUUGUGAAAUCCAACCUGCUGAAACACCAGCAUAUUCAUGAGUAAUGACAGUGCCUGGUUUUUACCGUGAACAUCUCGCUGCUUCAUAGUCUUCCUACUUCUCAGCCAGAAGAUUUUGUUUCAAGUCCCACCUGAUAUGGAGCUGUGUCAAAGAACUUACUUAUUACUUUAAUUGAUGGCUGAAUGAUAUCCACUGGGGCUGGUUUCUGCUGAAGUUCACGAACUCCAGCUCUCAGUUAAAGGGAUGACUGUUUGGGAUGACAAUGAAAUAAAUGCACUUUGUGGUCCUCACUGCAACAGUCUGGAGAAGAAAUUGCGGGGGGACCUGGCUGAUAUUUUUGCAUCCUUGUUAGCCAUGGGUGAGG